rfam:Eucalyptus grandis cultivar BRASTZ1 unplaced genomic scaffold scaffold_11, whole genome shotgun sequence.
UCCCGAUGAGGAAGCACACCCUUAAAGAUAGGAAGUGCCGUAUGACACUCCAAAACGGCGAGCGG